UGAUAUCACAUGGGGUUGUUUGGUUACAAAUCAACUAAUGUAACCCCACUUUGUUUUGUUUUCACGAAAAUCAAUUUUCAUAACAUCACCUUUCCAAUUUUCUCUACCCUCCUUCUCGUGUUCUCUCUUCCCAACAUCAUCUCUCUUUUCCUCUUCUUUCUUUUCUCUUCCCUCUGUUCCUCUUCUUUCUUUUCUCUUCCCUCUCUUCCCAACAUCAUCUCUCUUUUCCUCUUCUUUCUUUUCUCUUCCCUCUGUUCCUCUUCUUUCUUUUCUCUUCCCUCUCUUCCUCUUCUUCUUUCUCAUCUCUUCUUUCUACUUCAUAUAUGGACAGAGGGAACUAAGGGCAUGUGACUAAUUUGUUGAGAAAGUAUGGUAUUGUUAGAGAAACUUAUAUGUGAUCUGAAGUGUAAAAUGAUAGUGGUAUUAUGGUUCUGCAGAACAAGAGAGAAAGAAGCGAACAUAUUAUGAGGUUAAUUUGAUAACAACUUUCACAAAAAGUGGUAAAUAAUUUGGUGCUAUCUUGAAAUAAUUUGGUGUUAUCUACAUAUACACACAAAACUUAUUUAGUUGUAAUUGUUGAUAAUAUUUUAGAUCUGAAUUCGAUUUUGAUUUAUUUAUUCUCUCUUGUGAUGAUUUGAUUUAUGUUCCAUUUUCAAAUUGUAAACCCUAUAGCUCACCUCAUAAAAUAAUUGGACAAAUAAUAAGCUUUAUAGCUCACUUCAUAAAAUAAUUGGAUAAAUUGUAGGAAAAUUAUGUCAACAAUGGAUAUAUCAAUUUGCAAAGAGUUGUUACAAAAU